rnacentral:rRNA from 1 species
AUACGGAGGGUGCAAGCGUUAAUCGGAAUUACUGGGCGUAAAGCGCGCGUAGGCGGUUAUUUAAGUCAGAUGUGAAAUCCCUGGGCUCAACCUAGGAACUGCAUCUGAUGCUGGGUAACUAGAGUUUUGGAGAGGUAAGUGGAAUUUCCGGUGUAGCGGUGAAAUGCAUAGAGAUCGGAAGGAACACCAGUGGCGAAGGCGACUUACUGGCCAAAAACUGACGCUGAGGUGCGAAAGCGUGGGUAGCAAACAGGAUUAGAAACCCUUGUAGUCC